AUCCAGCUGACGAGUCCAAAAUAGGACGAAAUGCGCAUCAAACUGAAU
rnacentral:hammerhead_ribozyme from 1 species